AUUGAACGCUGGCGGCAGGCUUAACACAUGCAAGUCGAGCGGAGAGAGGUAGCUUGCUACUGAUCUUAGCGGCGGACGGGUGAGUAAUGCUUAGGAAUCUGCCUAUUAGUGGGGGACAACAUUUCGAAAGGAAUGCUAAUACCGCAUACGUCCUACGGGAGAAAGCAGGGGAUCUUCGGACCUUGCGCUAAUAGAUGAGCCUAAGUCGGAUUAGCUAGUUGGUGGGUUAAAGGCCUACCAAGGCGACGAUCUGUAGCGGGUCUGAGAGGAUGAUCCGCCACACUGGGACGAAGACACGGCCCAGACUCCUACGGGAGGCAGCAGUGGGGAAUAUUGGACAAUGGGCGAAAGCCUGAUCCAGCCAUGCCGCGUGUGUGAAGAAGGCCUUAUGGUUGUAAAGCACUUUAAGCGAGGAGGAGGCUACUUUAGUUAAUACCUAGAGAUAGUGGACGUUACUCGCAGAAUAAGCACCGGCUAACUCUGUGCCAGCCGCCGCCGUAA
rnacentral:rRNA from 1 species